UCAAAAGCGGUUGCGCGGAAGAGUAAGGAGCCAUCCCAUCAGUUAGUAAGUAGGGUAAGGGCCUACUUAGACGAAGACGGGUACGGGGAAUUGUGGUUUGAUUCCGGAGAGGGAGCCUGAGAGACGGCUACCAGGUCCAAGGACAGCAGCAGGCGCGAAAAUUACCGAAGCCUCCGGUGAGGGCGGUAGUAAGGAGACGUGGAAACGAUGAGGAGGUAAAGAAUGCUCUGGUAACAGGAGGUCAAGACUGGUGCCAGCAUCCGCGGUAAUACCAGCUCCUGGAGUGUCUAUGAUGAUUGCUGCAGUUAAAGAGUUCGUAGUCGGGCUGCGUGACUGGCGUGAAAGGCCUUCUUUCAAGGGGGGCAGAGCGCUAGGAAAGCAGAGGAUAAGGAGCGUUUUGGGGCCAGGUUAUUAAGCGACGAGAGGUGAAAUUUGAUGACUCGCUUAGGAGGAACAGAGGCGAAAGCGCUGGCCAGGGGCGAAUCCGAUGAUAAAGGACGUAGGCUAGAGGAUCGAAGACGAUUAGAGACCGUUGUAGUUCUAGCAGUAAACGAUGCCGAUGCCGUGGUGCGUGCGCGCGACGCGGAGGAGAAAUUGAGUAGGGCCCUGGGGAGAGUACACGCGCAAGCGAGAAAUUUAAAGGAAAUUGACGGAAGAACACCACAAGGAGUGGAGUGUGCGGCUUAAUUUGACUCAACGCGGGACAGCUUACCAGGCCCGACGACCGCAGGAGUGUUGUACACGAUAGGUCGAAGAGUGGUGCAUGGCCGUUAACGACAAGUGGGGUGACCUUUGGGUUAAGUCCGGGAAGUAGUGAGACCCCUGCUGUUUUUUGGACAGGACAGGUGCUCAAAGCACAGGAAGGAAGGGUCAAGAACAGGUCAGUGAUGCCCUUAGAUGGUCUGGGCUGCACGCGCACUACAGUGGUCACAGAAAGGAUUUUCGAGAGAUAAUGGUGAUCGAGAGGGAAUGAGCUUUGCAAGAGGCUCAGGAACGAGGAAUUGCUAGUAAUCGCGGGCUCAUUAAGACGCGAUGAAUACGUCCCUGUUCUUUGUACACACCGCCCGUCGUUAUCGAAGAUGGAGUCAGGCGCGAACAAGCGAGAGCGAGUGAGUGCAGGAUUCUAGAUGUGAUACAAGUCGUAACAAGGUAGCUGUAGGAGAACCUGUAGCUGGAUCAGAGCGAUGGUAGAGAUUUGGUUUUGAUGAGUAUGCCCUGCGCAAGGGAUCUUUUGGCUCGCUGUGCGAGGAAGGGCGCAGCUGCGGGCGAAAUGUGCCGGAGCGGCAGCGGUGAUGGCACGUGCCCGAAGAUGCGCGAGCAGGCAGACCCCUUUGAAUUAAGCAUAUGAGUAGAGGGAGGAAAAGAAACUAACAAGGAUUCCCGCAGUAGCGGCGAGCGAAGAGGGAAGAGCCCGGAGUGCAAUCGCAGCGAUGCGAGAUGUCAGGAGUGCGCGGAACCGUUCUGGAAAGACGGGCCGGAGAGGGUGAGAGCCCCGUGGACGCGUGCGUUGGUGUUGGAGUAGCGGUGCUUGGUAGUGCACCGUGAAUGGGUGGCAGCGUGCAUCCAAGGCUAAAUACUGCAGCGAGACCGAUAGUGGAUAAGUAGAGUGAUCGAAGAAGGAAUAGUUUGAAAAGGUGAAAUUGCGCAGGGAGCCGAGCGGCUCGGCCCCGUCUUGAAACACGGACCAAGGAGUGCAAGUACGCGGCGAGUCGGGGGCGGUGAGUGCCCUGGGCGGAGCGAAGGCGAGGGAGCCGCGUGCCUGCGACCCGAUAGACUUGUGAACUAUGCCUGGAGGCUGCGAAGGCUGACGAAAGACAGCUGGAGGC
rnacentral:rRNA from 1 species